CCUGAUGAAGCUCGCUAGCGAAGCCCAGGCGAUGUAUAUCAGCGGACCCUGCUUCACGCGAUCGUUGCUCGCUAGAAAACCUUCGCGAAAUGCCCCUUGCGAACACUCGCGGCCAGUCUUCGGGCCAAUUUGCUCGCGGGGAAUUGGCUUCGCGGCCGCUCGCGACCAUCUCUUCGCAGUCGCUUGCCUUCGCUCGCGACCAUCGCUUAGCGGUCACUUGCUCUCGCGGCCAGUCUCUUAGUGGUCGCUUACUUAUGCGGACAAACGCUCGCGGCCAGUCGCUGAUGCGCCG
rnacentral:lncRNA from 1 species